rnacentral:rRNA from 1 species
CCGUAGCCCAAGAGAUCGGGAUAACACCUGGAAACAGAUGCUAAUACCGGAUAACAANAGAUGAUGCCUAUCAACUGUUUAAAAGAUGGUUCUGCUAUCACUCUUGGAUGGACCUGCGGUGCAUUAGCUAGUUGGUAGGGUAACGGCCUACCAAGGCGAUGAUGCAUAGCCGAGUUGAGAGACUGAUCGGCCACAUUGGGACUGAGACACGGCCCAAACUCCUACGGGAGGCAGCAGAU